UACGUAGGGUGCGAGCGUUGUCCGGAAUUAUUGGGCGUAAAGAGCUCGUAGGCGGUGUGUCACGUCGGCCGUGAAAACCUGCAGCUUAACUGUGGGCGUGCGGUCGAUACGGGCAGACUUGAGUUCGGCAGGGGAGACUGAAAUUCCUGGUGUAGCGGUGAAAUGCGCAGAUAUCAGGAGGAACACCGGUGGCGAAGGCGGGUCUCUGGGCCGACACUGACGCUGAGGAGCGAAAGCGUGGGGAGCGAACAGG
rnacentral:rRNA from 1 species